GUGCCAGCAGCCGCGGUAAUACGUAGGGUGCAGGCGUUAAUCGGAAUUACUGGGCGUAAAGCGUGCGCAGGCGGUUUGCUAAGAGAGAUGUGAAAUCCCCGGGCUUAACCUGGGAACUGCGUUUCUAACUGGCAGGCUUGAGUGUGGCAGAGGGGGGUGGAAUUCCACGUGUAGCAGUGAAAUGCGUAGAGAUGUGGAGGAACACCGAUGGCGAAGGCAGCCCCCUGGGCUAACACUGACGCUCAUGCACGAAAGCGUGGGGAGCAAACAGGAUUAGAUACCCGGGUAGUCC
rnacentral:rRNA from 1 species